AUGGCAUAUGCUUUAUUUCUAUUAAGUGUUGUCUUAUUUAUAGGGAUUGUAGGUUUUUCUUCAAAACUGUCUCCUAUUUAUUGAGGCUUAGGGGUAAUUAUUAGUGGUGCUGUGGGUUGUGGUAUUGUGUUGAAUUUUGGUGGGGCUUUCAUGGGGUUAAUAGUCUUUUUUAUUUACUUGGGUGGUAUAAUGGUUAUUUUUGGUUAUACUCCAGUGAUAGCUAUUGAGGAGUAUCCUGAAACAUGAGGGCCAAGUACUGAUAUUUGAGGGGCCUUAUUAUUAGGAUUAUUAAUAGAGUUGAUACUGGUUUGGUGAAUAGUUGAAUAUGAUGGGGUGGUGAUCACGGUUGAUUUUAAUAGCAUAGGGAGUUGAUUUAAUUUUUGAGGGGGAGGGGUUGAUUCAUGAGGAUUUUGUAGGUGCAGCUGCCUUGUAUAAUUAUGGGUGUUGGUUGGUGGUUGCUGGUUGAUCAUUGUUAGUAUUUUUGUCGCAAUUGAAAUUACUCAGGGUAAUAG
rnacentral:lncRNA from 1 species